rnacentral:rRNA from 1 species
GACGAACGCUGGCGGCGUGCUUAACACAUGCAAGUCGAACGGAAAGGCCCUGCUUUUGUGCGGUUCUCGAGUGGCGAACGGGUGAGUAACACGUGAGUAACCUGCCCUUGACUGUGGGAUAACUUCAGGAAACUGGGGCUAAUACCCGAUAGGAUCUCCUGCUGCAUGGUGGGGGUUGGAAAGUUUCGGCGGUUGGGGAUGGACUCGCGGCUUAUCCGCUUGUUGGUGGGGUAGUGGCUUACCAAGGCUUUGACGGGUAGCCGGCCUGGGAGGGUGACCGGGCACAUUGGGACUGCGAUAGGGCGCAGAAUGCUACGGGAGGCAGUAGUCGGGAAUAUUGCAGAAUGGGCGGAAGCGUGAGGCAGAAACGCCGCGAGCGGGAUGACGGCCUUCGGGUUGUAAACCGCUUUCGCAUGUGACGAAGAGUGAGUGACGGUAAUGGGUAAAGAAGCACCGGCUAACUACGUG